rnacentral:rRNA from 1 species
GACAGAGGGUGCAAACGUUGUUCGGAAUUACUGGUCGUAAAGCGAGUGUAGGCGGUCUUGUAAGUCGGAUGUAAAAGCCCAGGGCUCAACCCAGGAAGUGCACUCGAUACUGCGAGGCUAGAGUAUCGGAGAGGUUGGUGGAAUUCCUGGUGUAGCGGUGAAAUGCGUAGAUAUCAGGAGGAACACCUGUGGCGAAAGCGGCUCACUGGACCAUAACUGACGCUGAUGCACGAAAGCUAGGGGAGCAAACAGG